rnacentral:rRNA from 1 species
AGCAGCCGCGGUAAUUCCAGCUCCAAUAGCGUAUAUUAAAGUUGCUGCAGUUAAAAAGCUCGUAGUUGAAUUUCGGGACCGAUAUAUCGGUCGUGCCUCGGUACGUACUGGUAUUUUCGGUUUCUCCCUUCUGACGAACCUUGAUGUCAUUAAUUUGGUGUUAUGGGGAAUCAGGACUGUUACUUUGAAAAAAUUAGAGUGUUUAAAGCAGGCAUUAGCUUGAAUACAUUAGCAUGGAAUAAUGAAAUAGGACGUUCGAUCCUACUUUGUUGGUUUCUAGGAUCAACGUAAUGAUUAAUAGGGAUAGUUGGGGGCAUUAGUAUUCAAUUGUCAGAGGUGAAAUUCUUGGAUUUAUUGAAGACUAACUACUGCGAAAGCAUUUGCCAAGGAUGUUUUCAUUAAUCAGUGAACGAAAGUUAGGGGAUCGAAGACGAUCAGAUACCGUCGUAGUCUUAACCGUAAACUAUAGCCGACUAGGGAUCGGACGAUUGUUUUUAUUCGUUGACUUCGUUCGGCACCU